rnacentral:lncRNA from 1 species
UAUUGGAUUGUGAUCCUAGAAUAAAUACUAAAUCUCUAUAAAUUAGAAGGUAUCUCACGAAUCCCGAUGAACAUCCUUAGCCUCCCCGAAGUUGAGGCAUGGAUGACCCAUGUUUGAAGUAAUAAAAACCCAAAUUGGUGAGGACCCCACCAAAGUUCUAAGAAAAUAAUGCUAUAGUGACAUAAAAAUCACCCAACUUGAUUAUCAGUUGAAAACAACCGUGGAUUUUGUGGUGAGUGUGAGAUUAAGCUGCAGCGAUGAUUCAAACUCAGGAAGUGAAGAUGCGGGAGAAACAAGAAGACGAUGAUGGCCCACCACCAGGGUGGCAACAACCUAUCCAUACUACGACGCCGUCACUUCCAACGCCGCCGCCGCCGCGUCCAUCUGGUGAUAGUGAGUUUUACCAUUUUUGUCAUUGAGUCUCAUUCUUUUAUUUUGUUUAAUUCCCAUAGCUUUGCCCGGUUUUGUUGAAUUUUUUUUUGGGUGCCUCUGUUCCAAAAUUUGAUUAUGGAAGAAUACCUAGUUGGGUUUUGGC